UACCAACCCGAUGCAAACUGCGAAUACCGGAGAAUGUUAUCACGGGAGACACACGGCGGGUGCUAACGUCCGUCGUGAAGAGGGAAACAACCCAGACCGCCAGCUAAGGUCCCAAAGUCAUGGUUAAGUGGGAAACGAUGUGGGAAGGCCCAGACAGCCAGGAUGUUGGCUUAGAAGCAGCCAUCAUUUAAAGAAAGCGUAAUAGCUCACUGGUCGAGUCGGCCUGCGCGGAAGAUGUAACGGGGCUAAACCAUGCACCGAAGCUGCGGCAGCGACACUCAGGUGUUGUUGGGUAGGGGAGCGUUCUGUAAGCCUGCGAAGGUGGCCUGUGAGGGUUGCUGGAGGUAUCAGAAGUGCGAAUGCUGACAUAAGUAACGAUAAAGCGGGUGAAAAGCCCGCUCGCCGGAAGACCAAGGGUUCCUGUCCAACGUUAAUCGGGGCAGGGUGAGUCGACCCCUAAGGCGAGGCCGAAAGGCGUAGUCGAUGGGAAACGGGUUAAUAUUCCCGUACUUGGUGUUACUGCGAAGGGGGGACGGAGAAGGCUAUGUUGGCCGGGCGACGGUUGUCCCGGUUUAAGCGUGUAGGUGUGUGUUCCAGGUAAAUCCGGUUCACUUUAACACUGAGGCGUGAUGACGAGGCACUACGGUGCUGAAGCAACAAAUGCCCUGCUUCCAGGAAAAGCCUCUAAGCAUCAGGUAACAUCAAAUCGUACCCCAAACCGACACAGGUGGUCAGGUAGAGAAUACCAAGGCGCUUGAGAGAACUCGGGUGAAGGAACUAGGCAAAAUGGUGCCGUAACUUCGGGAGAAGGCACGCUGACACGUAGGUGAAGUGAUUUACUCAUGGAGCUGAAGUCAGUCGAAGAUACCAGCUGGCUGCAACUGUUUAUUAAAAACACAGCACUGUGCAAACACGAAAGUGGACGUAUACGGUGUGACGCCUGCCCGGUGCCGGAAGGUUAAUUGAUGGGGUCAGCGCAAGCGAAGCUCCUGAUCGAAGCCCCGGUAAACGGCGGCCGUAACUAUAACGGUCCUAAGGUAGCGAAAUUCCUUGUCGGGUAAGUUCCGACCUGCACGAAUGGCGUAAUGAUGGCCAGGCUGUCUCCACCCGAGACUCAGUGAAAUUGAACUCGCUGUGAAGAUGCAGUGUACCCGCGGCAAGACGGAAAGACCCCGUGAACCUUUACUAUAGCUUGACACUGAACAUUGAGCCUUGAUGUGUAGGAUAGGUGGGAGGCUUUGAAGCGUGGACGCCAGUCUGCGUGGAGCCGACCUUGAAAUACCACCCUUUAAUGUUU
rnacentral:rRNA from 1 species